rnacentral:rRNA from 1 species
AGAGUUUGAUCCUGGCUCAGGAUGAACGCUAGCGAUAGGCUUAACACAUGCAAGUCGAGGGGCAGCAUUAUUUUAGCUUGCUAAGAUAGAUGGCGACCGGCGCACGGGUGCGUAACGCGUAUGCAACCUGCCUGUAAUUAGGGAAUAACCCGGUGAAAGUCGGACUAAUACCCUAUAUUCAUCGUUAACCGCAUGGUUGGUGAUGGAAAGAUUUAUUGAUUACAGAUGGGCAUGCGUCCCAUUAGCUCGUUGGUAAGGUAACGGCUUACCAAGGCAACGAUGGGUAGGGGGACUGAGAGGUUGACCCCCCACACUGGUACUGAGACACGGACCAGACUCCUACGGGAGGCAGCAGUGAGGAAUAUUGGUCAAUGGGCGAGAGCCUGAACCAGCCAAGUCGCGUGAAGGACGACGGUUCUAUGGAUUGUAAACUUCUUUUGUAGAGGAAUAAUGGCAGCUACGUGUAGCUGAGAUGCAUGUACUCUACGAAUAAGUAUCGGCUAACUCCGUGCCAGCAGCCGCGGUAAUACGGAGGAUACGAGCGUUAUCCGGAAUUAUUGGGUUUAAAGGGUGCGUAGGUGGCGUAUUAAGUCAGUGGUGAAAAGCUGCAGCUCAACUGUAGUCUUGCCGUUGAAACUGAUAUGCUAGAGAGGAGACGAGGUAUGCGGAAUGUGUGGUGUAGCGGUGAAAUGCAUAGAUAUCACACAGAACGCCGAUUGCGAAGGCAGCGUACCAGGCUCCGUCUGACACUGAAGCACGAAAGCGUGGGGAUCAAACAGGAUUAGAUACCCUGGUAGUCCACGCAGUAAACGAUGAAUACUAGAUUUUUGCGAUAUAGUGUAAGAGUCUAAGCGAAAGCGAUAAGUAUUCCACCUGGGGAGUACGCCGGCAACGGUGAAACUCAAAGGAAUUGACGGGGGCCC